rnacentral:rRNA from 1 species
GAGACAGCAGUAGCCGCGGUAAUACGUAGGUGGCAAGCGUUGUCCGGAAUUAUUGGGCGUAAAGGGCUCGCAGGCGGUUUCUUAAGUCUGAUGUGAAAGCCCACGGCUCAACCGUGGAGGGUCAUUGGAAACUGUUAAACUUGAGUGCAGGAGAGAAAAGUGGAAUUCCUAGUGUAGCGGUGAAAUGCGUAGAGAUUAGGAGGAACACCAGUGGCGAAGGCGGCUUUUUGGCCUGUAACUGACACUGAGGCGCGAAAGCGUGGGGAGCAAACAGGAUUAGAUACCCCAUAGUCCCUGUCUCUUAUACA